GGCCUAAGUAACUUGGGAAAUACGUGUUUCAUGAACUCAGCUAUUCAGUUACCGGUUUACUAAAAUAGUGAGCAUACAUGAUCACUUGAGAAUUGGGCUUCUGGAGCACCUGAACAGAAAGGGAGUGGUUCAUAUUCAGCAUUACAAAAGACAACUUUCUCUUUUUGAAGGGGAUUACUUUGGCUAUUUUCCAGUGUUUGAGCAACACACCUCCACUUACUGAGUAUUUCCUCAAUGAUAAGUAUCAAGAAGAACUGAAUUUUGACAAUCCCUUAGGAAUGAGAGGUGAAAUAGCUAAAUCUUAUGCCGAACUGAUCAAGCAAAUGUGGUCUGGAAAGUUUAGCUACGUCACCCCAAGAGCCUUUAAGACACAGGUAGGACGUUUUGCACCUCAGUUCUCUGGAUAUCAGCAGCAAGACUGUCAAGAACUGUUAGCUUUCCUGUUAGAUGGAUUACAUGAGGAUUUGAAUAGAAUUAGGAAAAAACCAUAUAUACAAUUAAAAGAUGCAGAUGGAAGGCCAGAUAAGGUAAAUUUCAUGAUCCUAUUGUCACCAUUGUUAUAAUUUUGUGAUACCUCUUUCUAAUUUGUGUCUAUCAUCCUUGUAGGUGGUUGCCGAAGAAGCCUGGGAAAACCAUUUAAAACGAAAUGAUUCUAUCAUAGUAGAUAUAUUUCAUGGCCUUUUCAAAUCAACUUUAGUUUGUCCUGAGUGUGCUAAGAUUUCAGUAACAUUUGAUCCUUUUUGUUACUUGACACUUCCAUUGCCCAUGAAAAAAGAACGCACCUUGGAAGUUUACUUAGUUAGAAUGGAUCCGCUUACCAAACCUAUGCAGUACAAAGUGGUUGUCCCCAAAAUUGGAAACAUAUUAGAUCUUUGUACAGCAUUGUCUGCUUUGUCAGGAAUACCUGCAGAUAAGAUGAUAGUUACUGAUAUAUACAAUCAUAGAUUUCACAGAAUAUUCGCUAUGGAUGAAAACCUUAGUAGUAUUAUGGAACGGGAUGAUAUUUAUGUGUUUGAAAUUAACAUCAAUAGGACAGAAGAUACAGAGCACGUGAUUAUUCCUGUUUGCCUAAGAGAAAAAUUCAGAC
rnacentral:sRNA from 1 species